UACGGAGGGUGCAAGCGUUAUCCGGAUUCACUGGGUUUAAAGGGUGCGUAGGUGGGCUAGUAAGUCAGUGGUGAAAUCUCCGGGCUUAACCCGGAAACUGCCAUUGAUACUAUUAGUCUUGAAUGUCGUGGAGGUAAGCGGAAUAUGUCAUGUAGCGGUGAAAUGCUUAGAUAUGACAUAGAACACCGAUAGCGUAGGCAGCUUGCUACACGAAUAUUGACACUGAGGCACGAAAGCGUGGGGAGCGAACAGG
rnacentral:rRNA from 1 species